UACGAAGGGGGCUAGCGUUGCUCGGAAUCACUGGGCGUAAAGGGUGCGUAGGCGGGUUUUUAAGUCAGGGGUGAAAUCCUGGAGCUCAACUCCAGAACUGCCUUUGAUACUGAAGAUCUUGAGUCCGGGAGAGGUGAGUGGAACUGCGAGUGUAGAGGUGAAAUUCGUAGAUAUUCGCAAGAACACCAGUGGCGAAGGCGGCUCACUGGCCCCGGUACUGACGCUGAGGCACGAAAGCGUGGGGAGCAAACAGG
rnacentral:rRNA from 1 species